rnacentral:misc_RNA from 1 species
GUUGCGCUGACCCGAAGGGAGGCAGGCGACCACGGUGGGAUCAGCGACUGGGGUGAAGUCGUAACAAGGUAGCCGUAGGGGAACCUGCGGCUGGAUCACCUCCUUUCUAAGGAUCGGUUCGAAAGCGCUCUGUUUUGGCAGAGAAGAGCUUCGCACUGGUUUUCAGAACAUAAGCCGCCGUCCUCAUGUCCCUUCAUCACUAGGUUAGUUUGCGAGACGAAGCAGCGUCAGCUGGUUCGCACGCAAACAAGCACGGCCAGCGCGGCACAGCGCGCCAUAGGGCGCAGCUUUGCUGCGACUGACGGCGCGAGCCAAGUGCGGGCCGGUAGCUCAGGUGGUUAGAGCGCACGCCUGAUAAGCGUGAGGUCGUAGGUUCAACUCCUACUCGGCCCACCAUCGCAGACGUUGCGCGCCAGUCAGCGCCGCGGGCAAAGCCCGCGUCGUCGAACCUGCUGAAGCAGGUCGGCCGUGCUGGUGAGCGUGCGCGAUAGCUUUGCUAUCGCGUCUCGUCACAGGCGCAUGGGGCCUUAGCUCAGCUGGGAGAGCGGUUGCUUUGCAAGCAUCAGGUCAUCGGUUCGAUCCCGAUAGGCUCCACCAUCUGCCAAAAACCUAGAGAUGAAGACACCGAGAUCCGCUGUGGCGACACAGCGGUGAUGGAGCAUCUGGCUCCUCUUUGACAUUGUGAAUGGGUUCUUAAAAUCGAUGCCGUGAAGGUAUCGGCUUUGAGGGAAGCGAGCGGCCUGCAAGGGCGGCUUUCGCGGAACGCAAGGCUGGUUCAUUUCACUAAAUCUGGCUGAGAUUAUAACAUCCACACCGGAUACUGCCGUAGCGCAUUUGCCGAGUGGUCGGACUGCCUGUUGGUGGUUCGUGCCCAGCGUUGCUGGUGGUGGUGUGGGCUCUCAAGCGUGAGGUAAGGGCAAUUCGUGGAUGCCUUGGCAUGUACAGGCGAAGAAGGACGUGGCACGCUGCGAUAAGCUGCGGUGAGGUGUGAGCAACCUUUGACCCGCAGAUUUCCGAAUGGGGAAACCCACCUAUCCGUUUAAUCCAAGAGGAGCCGAGCGACGACACGUCGUGAAGCGUGCCGCCGAGCGGCUCAGCUAGGGUUAGGCG